rnacentral:lncRNA from 1 species
CUGAUCAAUCUCCUUGGGAGUGCUAAUCGUGAAGAUUUUUGAUAGUUGAUUUAACUUCUUCUUCAAAUCUCUUAGAUACUCUAGAGAGGGAGAAGAACCAAGGAAGGAGGUGAGGCUAGAGAAAACUAUUUUCUCUUUUUUUGAAGUCACUCUUAUGGGGCGUCCAAUUAUUGGACUUCUUUUAUAGGUAGGCUAGGGAUUAGGG